CAGCAUUGGUCGACAAAGGCACGUCAGCGGAGCACAUGAAUAUCAGAAAAUUAUACAAACAAACAGUUAUUAUUAUUACCCUUUUAAAUGAUUUUGAAUUCUGAAAAAACAUUUAGAAUUCUAAAAUACCCUUUUGAAAAAAUAUCUAGGAGUAAAAUACCCUUUAACCUAAAAUCUUAUCUGGAGCUCUGGUCAUGUAGGAGUUAUGGCUCCUGACUUUGUAAAAAUUGGUCAUUUUAGUGUUGUGUCGCGCGUAGCUCCAAAAGUAUUUGACCUAGAGUCACCAAAGUUUACAGGAAUGUUGGUCAGCAUGUGCAGUUGUGCACCUGGGGUUUCGCGUCCAGAUUCAUUCAGUCAUGUAGGAGUUAUGGCCCCUGACUUAGUUAAAAAUUUAUUUGGUACAGUUUGUACCAUUUUCUGAAGAUUUAAAUCUUUUGCAUGAUCUAAGUUAUCCUUUUAAAAGUAAAAUUUUUGUGUCCUUCUUACAGACUGCAUAAUUUUGUCCGCUGAUUGUUGGAAAAAAAUAUUUUUUUAUUGUAUGCUAAAAUUUUUUCUUUAAUCAAACAGUUAUAGUAAAUGAUCCAGCAUGUAGGAAAAGGAUAUGUACAGGUUCUCCAUUAUUAUUUUUGUUUCACCUGUACCGAAAAAGAACAUUCAUGACCAUGAAGAUGUUAUACAAUUAUCUGAGAAGGGGACACAAACUGAUGGCAUUUUCCCAAUGUGUGUAUGUCAGGGAAUUCAACUUCAAAGAUCACUUGCAAAGACAUACAGACGGAUAGAUACUGAGGAUGAUGCUGAUAUAAAUUGUGUGUUACAAAGUCUCCUGAUGAUUCCUGUCAGAGGAGCUUGAAGCACAUGAAAGGGAAGAGCUGGAUUUAAUUGUCAAAAAGAAUGGUCAGACACAGGAACAAACUGUACAUGGAAACAGUGUUGUUAGUGGAGACUUUAUAACAGACAACAGUCGCCAGAUUUCUAGUGUAAUUGAAGGAGAUACUGAUCUAUGUGAUCAAGUUGAUAACCAACAGUAACCACACUUACUACAUAAAAAAAAAGGCUCUGUAAAAAAACAACAUCAGAAGAUUUAAGAAAGACGACUUUCAGGAAACGAGAAAGCCGUGAGGGUUCUACAAUCUGUCUACGAACAGAAAGAUGAUGACAGUGAAUCCCCCAACCAUGAUGAGCAUUCAAGAGUUUUCAAGUUAUUGUCUCAACAACAGUGAAAUAAGAUCAGCUUUGAUAUACAAAUUGAGUGAUGAAAUGAGGAAGAUACCAGCAUCUAUGACAAACAGGGAAAAUGGUUUUGUGUCUGUCCUAAUGAAAAAAAGUCCUGAGGACAUUGAAAAUCUACAUCUUCUUGUAGAUGUCAUCCAAGAGUUUGUAAAUUUAUUUCCUGAACUGUUACAAAUUCUUUUAUUGCUUCCACCAAAGAAGACACUGGAAUGUUUUGCAGACAUCAUACCAAGGCUGUCUCUCAUUUAUUCAGUGAUAAUGCAGAACAGAGUGAGAGAGCUCCGCCAAUUACAAAGGAGUGUAGCAGUGAUGCAGACAAUAUUUGUGAUCAAGCGGUAAGGAAAACAUAUGUUAAAAAUUCAUGUUACAUUGUUUGAUUUAGGAAAAAUGAAACUGACACUUGCAUAAAAAUUAAUAAUCAAUAAUAAAGGGAAGCAAUUUCCAAAUUUUUAUUUAAAUCAAUAAAAUAUACAUUUCUAAUACGGAUCUAACUCUAUGUAGUGCAUCUUUUUAUACGCCCGUUUGAAAAACGGGACGUAUUAUGGGAACGCCCCUGGCGGGCGGGCAGCGUCCACAGACUUUGUCCGGAGCAUAUCUUCUACAUGCAUGGAGGGAUUUUGAUGAAACUUGGCACAGUUGUUCACCAUCAUGAGACGGAGUGUCAUGCGCAAGAACCAGAUCCCUAGGUCUAAGGUCAAGGUCACAGAGGUCAAAGGUCAAAUUCAAGAAUGACUGUCCGGAGCAUAUCUUCUUCAUGCAUGGAGGGAUUUUAAUGAAAGUUGGCACAAUUGUUCAUCAUCAUGAGAUGGAGUGUCAUGCGCAAGAACCAGGUCCCUAGGUCUAAGGUCAAG